rnacentral:rRNA from 1 species
CCCUUAGAUGUUCUGGGCCGCACGCGCGCUACACUGAAUGGAUCAACGUGUUUUCCCUUCCCGAGAGGGACGGGUAACCCGCUGAACCCCAUUCGUGGUAGGGAUCGGAGCUUGCAAUUGUUCUCCGUGAACCAGGAAUUCCCAGUAAGCGCAAGUCAUAAGCUUGCAUUGAUUACGUCCCUGCCCUUUGUACACACCGCCCGUCGCACCUACCGAUUGAAUGGUCCGGUGAAAUCUCGGGACGGCGGCUUGGUCGCUUGCGUCCGACUGCCGAAACUUGAUUAAACCAUAUCAUUUAGAGGAAGGUGAAGUCGUAACA